rnacentral:SRP_RNA from 1 species
GCUGGGCGCAGUGGCUCAUGCCUGUAAUCCCAGCACUUUGGAAGGUUGAGGCUGGAGGAGCGCUUGAGUCCAGGAGUUCCGGGCUGUAGUGCACUAUGCCAAUCAGGUGUCCGCACUAAGUCCGGUAUCAAUAUGGUAACCUCCCAGGAGCAGGAGACCAUCAGGUUGCCUAAGGAGGGGUGAACCAGCCCAGGUCGGAAAUGGAGCAGGUCAAAACUCCCAUGCUGAUCAGUAGUGGGACUGCACCUGUGAAUAGCCACUGCACUCCAGCCUGGGCAACAUAGCGAGACCCUGUCUCU